CUUACCUGGGGAAAGACUUGUAAUCGUGUUGCCGAGCUUGUAGUGUAAGGAGGUAUGCAACAUCCCGUGAUGUGUUAAGGCUUGUCGCGCAAGUCUCUAAGCAAACAUUUCUCGAGGUCGUCGACAGGCGUUCUUCCAGGUGGUUCUCCACAUUUAGCUGUGAGAGCAGGAUGGAGUUCUCUGCGCCUGUCCGCUGCACUCUGGCUGCUGUGUCACCUGAUGGCGCGUACCUGGCCACCACCCUCGGCGUCCGACUGACUGUGUUCGGGGUAGCUGCCCAGCAGGAGGUGGCCUCGUUCACCUGCCUGGAUGACCCGCAGCAUCUGGAGUGGUCGCCGGACUCGACGCUGCUGCUGACGGCGGUGUUCUCGCGGCGCGCCGUCCAGCUCUGGAGCGUGGAG